AUAAUUUUAUUUAACUUGUGGCUACUUGAAAAUUUCAUGCUGGAUGUUUGCUUACCAUUACAUUUUGCAUAAGAGCUCUAUGAUUGACAUUAAAGUCCACGGGCCAAUUCAUUUCUGAUAUAUCUAUAAUCUUUCCGAUAUCUUGUUAUGAUAUAAAUGACUGAACAUCAUUGUAGAAUUAUAAGGAAAAAAUAUAUAAUAUAUGUUCAUUCUUUGUAAAAAUGUUAGAAGACUUGCAAGUUACCGACUUUAUCAUUGCAUUUAUUUAUUAUUGAAAAAAUGCUGAACAGCUAGUCUCAACAGUGUUUAUAGGCUAGAAUUUUCAGUUUGCAUUAGGGCCAAAAUUAUUAAAUAUAUUGUUAGUCAUGACGGCUUUCCCAUUGCUGUCAUCAAACUUUAACCUUGUUCAUAACUUUUUCAGAUCUUGGUGUAUUGUCUUCAUACUUGGCCACAACAACCCUUCAAAUAGACCAGACUAAACUAAAUUAACUUGACCACCAUAUUAACAUUCAAGAAGUUCGGCCUACAUGUCAGAUUUAUGAAUGUGAACAGCAGGAUAUCGAUUUUAAGGAUGCUUUAGGGUCAAUGACAAUGAAAUCACGAGAGAUAAAGGCUAAAAUGUGAGACUGUCAAUCUGACUAACCUUGAAGUGAACAAAUGGAAAAAAUGUCUCUUUCAAUAGCAUGGGCUUUUAAGGAAGAGGAAACAGAGGCGCUUAUAUGAUAGAACAGUAAAAGCAGGAGUGAUAAGGAAAGAUACAUGUAGAAUAAGAUGUGUCUUCAUGUCUGAAACACUAAAGAAAUAGAAAUAUUGUGGUUUUAUAAACUUUAAAAGAAAUUGGAAUAUCAGGAGACUGCCUGCCCUUUGCAAUGUUGGAUAAUGAGUUCUUAGAUGUGAUGUCGAAAGCCUCAUGAAUAUAGUACCAUGACUUAAUCUAAUUAGAAAAAGAAAUGACAUUGAGGAGAAAACUAGUCACCAGUCUUUCACCAAGAACUAGAGAUAACUUUCCAAUAUUUGAAAUAUCAUAAUAUGUAUAGAACUUUAUUGAGCCACCAGUUUUUCACCAGGAAAAUAAGAUCACAUUAACUAUUUUUAGCUCACCUGUCACAAAGUGACAGGGUGAGCUUUUUUGAUCGCUUUUCGUCUGGCGUCCACUUUAAAUGACAUCUCCUCAUAAACCACUAAGCCAAUUUCAUCCAAACUUCACAGGAAUGUUUCUUUGGUGGUCACCUCUAAAUAUUGUUCAUAGAACGCUGGUUGCCAUGGCAACCAAAAGAAAAAAAACUUAAAGUAUCUUCUUUUAAAGAACCUAAAGAGCUAGAGCUUAGACAAAGUAUCUUCUUUUAAAGGUAUGAAACAUCUUCUAGUGAGUGUCUACCAAGUUUGUUCAAAUAAAAGCCCUGGGGGUCAAAAUUGGCCCCGCCCCAGGGGGUCAUUGAAUUCCCCUAUAUGCAUAUAGUAAAAACUUAAAAAUCUUCUUUUAAAGAACCAAAAUAGCUAGAGUUUAGAUAUCAAGCAUGAAACAUCUUCUUGUAAGUGUCUACAAAGUUUGUUCAAAUAAAAGCCCUGGGGUCAAAAUUGGCCCCUCCCCGGGGGUCAUUGAUUUUCCUUAUAUGUGUAUAGCAAAAACUUAAAAACCUUCUUUGAAAAAACCUAAAUAGCUAGAGUUUAGAUAUUAAGCAUGAAACAUCUUCUGGUAAGUGUGUACAAGGCCCCACCCCAGGGGUUUCAUUGUUUUUAACUAUAUGUGUAUAGUAAAAACUUAAAAAAUCUUCUUUUAAAAAACCCAAUGAGCUAGAGCCUAGAUGUUUAGCAUGUCGACCAAGUUUGUUCAAAUUUAAGCCCUUGUAUAAAAAUUGGCCAUGCCGGGGUGGGGGGUGGUGCAGAGGUCUUUGUUUUACAUUAUAUGUGUGUAGUAAAAACUUAACAUCAUGAAACAUCUUCUAACGGGUGUCUUACAAGUUUGGUCAAAUAAAAGCCCUGGGUUUUUAAACUGGCCCCGCUCCAGGGGCCUAUAUACACAUGGCCCUCUUGUUCAACAAUCUUGUUGAAAUAUGUAUGAACAAAUCUUUAUCAACUUCAAGCUUUUAUUGAAGGAAUUUGAAAUAACUUGGCAGAAAUGAUUGUUAUAAUAAGACAAUGAGUCAUGUCAACAACCAGACCCCUACCUCCAGGGUCAAGGUCGCACUUGCUCAUUCAAGGUCAACUUGUCUUUUUGAGAGUAUAUCUCGUGUCUGGUCUUCCCUAUCUCUGAAGGGAUUUUGUAAAUUCUUGCCACAAUUGCUCACAAUAAUGAGAAGAUGUGUCAUGCUCAACAACAGGUCACCUGCCUCCAAGGUCAAGGUCACACUUGGAGGUCAAAUAUUAGCAUAGCCUGUUACAGGGUAUAUUUCGUGUCCGGUCCAUAACUUUGUCAUUUAUUGAAGGAAUUUGAAAUAACUUGGCACAAAUGUUUGUUAUAAUAAGACGAUGAUGUGCAACAACCAGACCCUUACCUUCAGGGUCAAGGUAACACUUGCUCAUUCAAGGUCAAGAUUGUCCAUUUGAGGGUAUAUCUCGUGUCCAGUCUAUACCUUUCUUAUCUUUGAAAGGAUUUUGUAAAUACUUGCCGCAAUUGUUCACAACAAUGAGAUGAUGUGUUAUGCGCAACAAUCGGUCACCAACCUAGAAGGUCAAGGUCACACUUGGAGGUCUAAGAUUAACAUAGCCUGUUAUAGGGUAUUUUUUUGUCUGGUCCAUAACUUUUUUGUAUAUCAAAGGAUUUUGAAAACACUUGGCACAAAUAUUCACUAUAAUAAGACAAUGUGUCAAGCGCAACACCUGCAUCCCUACCUCCAAAGUCAGGGUCACAUUUCGAGGUAAAAAAUUAACAUAGUCUUUUAAAGGGUAUAUAUUGUGUCCAAUGUAGAACUUCUUCAUAGUUCAAGGGAUUUUGAAAUAACUUGGCACAAAUAGUCACAAUAAUAAGACGAUAUGUCAAUUACAACACCUGCACCCCUGCCUCCAAGGUCAAGGUCACACUUACAUGUAUAAAGGUAACAAAGUCUGUUAUAUGGUAUAUUUUAUGCCCCGUCCAUAACUUCUUCAUAGAUGAAGGGAUUUGGAAAAUACUUGGCACAAAUAGUCACAAUGAUAAGAUGAUAUGUCAUGCACAACACCUGCACCCCUACCUCCAAGGUCAAGGUCACACUAAGAGGUCAAAGCAGGGAUUUUUUCCAGGAUUUUGGGAACAUAACCCAUACCCAUGCAACUGAGAAUUUCAGCGAUAUUUUGUUAAAAUUGGGAAAAAAUGUAUGACUGAAAGUUUGCAGUGAUUAAAUGUAUGCAAGCAAUCACUGCCUAGGAUGGCUUCUUCAAACAUUUAAACACUAUUACAGUAAAGAAGCCCUUAUUUUCAAAGAUUUUAGAAUUCUUUAUUCAAUAUUUAUAUUUUUGUAACUUUCAAUUGGGAAUAUUUUCCUUUGGAUUGGGAAAAUAAUAUACUAUUUUCAAUUGGGAAUAUGUCCCAAUAACGGCUAUAAAAUAAGCCAAAAAAUCCCUGCAAAGCAUAACAUGAUAUAUUUUGAAAUUCAGUAUUUCAUUUGAUUUCUUUAAUAAAUUUAUUGUUGCAUUUGCAGAUCCAGCAUUGAUCAUAAUUUUGGACUGAAAAUCCUUAGAUCCCUGCCUCAAUCUUUUGAAAUAGCACAAUUUUUUGCUUCAUAUAAAACUUCCCUGAGGCGGGGGACGUUGGUAUCUCUGUUACAAAUUCUUGUUUAUUUUACCAACAAGUGUUCACUUUCAAACUUUUGAUCAUUGUAUUUUUUGUACUACCUUUUGUAUAAUGUUGUAUUUUAUUUAUGUUCUUAUUCUAAGAUUAGCAUGGCCAACUCAUGAAAGUCCAAAUGAUGGUCAACUUUUUUUAUGUUUUUUUUUGUUUUGUUUUUUUUUAACAUUAUUUACUUUAUUUUUACAGUGUUCCUCUGAAUCAUACAUUCUGUUUUAGUUAAACAUGCACUUCUUGUUACUUAUUUUCCCAUACUUCAUAUUACAUUGAUCACGGUUUGAUGUGAUGGCUCAUAAAAUUGUAACAAUAUCAUUCUUUGUACUUUACCUAGUAAUUUAUGAAAACAGAAAUGCUCUUGUAAGCUAACCAAUAAGAUUUGUACACCUUUUAAGGAUUCAAUUUAUAACUGGUAUAUUCAACAAUGUA